CAAUAACUAAUGCCCUCAAUACUGCAUUUUGUGCAGAAAUCAUGCCUUUAAACUCCUUUUCCAAAUGCUGUAAUGUUUGUGGCAAAACAGUGAUGACUCCAAACAAGGUGCAAAUUCAUACUGAGUCCUCUUCAGUAUCUGUUGAGAUUUUGGCUUCAAGAAGUCACCUGAAAAUGUCUUUGCAAGAAAAUACUGUUCAGUGAACUUGAAAAGCCUUCAAGAAGAGGAAAGCCCUGAAAUAUUGUGUUUUUUUAAUCUCACAAGGGAGGAUCAGCAGGAAAAUUUCUGUGGGAACUAACGUACAUUGAGUGUUCAGCUGUAGCAUUCUGACAUCAGAGCAUUACAUCAGAGCAUCCUCACCGGCUGCGCUCAGAAACAGGGUGUUUGCAAUUGCUCAUGUGACAGCAGAGCUCCCAAGGGCUCCUGGUGGCUGCUCAGCAUUCACUCCAAAACUUCUCCAGGCCCUGAAGUGGACAUCUGCUGGGAGGCCAGAAGCAAGGACCUAGCAGGCUGUAGAACCGACAGCCAUCUCCUGGCUUCAUGCCACAACACGGCCCAUUGACAGAGUCAUUUCAUGGAGCCUUGGGUUUUAACUGGAAGCAAUCACCUGUGUGAUCGGUGGCAGCUCAAAGAAGGGGGUGAUACCUGUUAGAAGGUCAAAGAGAGCCAUCAGAGAGCACAUGCAAUAAAAUUGGCUGUCUGCGCUCAUCUUGAACGGUGCAUCUCUGGGGAACAGCAGUUCCCAGGAGGGGAGCACAGCGAGGAGGGAGCACAGCAAGGCAAGCACGUUGCACCGUCCCCUCAGAGGCCUCCCAUCUGGAACAGCACAGGGAAGAGGAGCGGCUCAUAUUGUUGGCGGCCCAUUGGUAGCAGUAGUCCGCCAUCUGCUGAUCCACACAGCUGUGUUUAUAGCCUUCAAGGUAAAGCAGCCAUCCAUCUUUUCUCACAGCCCGCUCUGAUUUCAGUGUAUGCUGGUACAUGAGAAUAUGCAACGUGGAGUCUGCUCGUCUGUGCUACAAGAGAGCAGCAGCCCGAGCCAAAACCGCAGGAUAUCAAAGUGCAGCUGACCGUUACAUUAAGAUGCCUGGAUCUUUGUCAAAAAGCCAUUCCCUACACUCACAGCUUUGAACCACGACUGCAAAAAGAAAAUAGGGGAAAAAAGAAAAAAAAAAGAAAAAAGAAAAAAAUUACAGCUUGCCCUAAACUAGCUCCCUGCAACCAACAGCAAGUGGCCCUUGAUACAGGACUGUUCCAUUGCCCAGCACUGUUAACCCCUUCCUCCUGUGCAGGCAUCCCCACAUCUGCAGUGUGCAAAGCCCUUCCCCUGCUCAGAGCAAGCAAUCUUCCUCUUGUUUUUCCCGUGCAUGAGUACUGCCAGAGCAUGUGGUAAUGCUAUUCACUGCAUGGGGCCAGCUGUACAAUUCCAUUAUGCAAAUGACAAUGCUGAUAAUUAAAAGUGUUUAUCAAGUAACCACAGAGGAACAGGAGUCUCCUUUACGACCAAGCCACACUCUUCAUCACUGUGAGACUGCACACUGUACAUGUGUAUGGGAACUGUUGAGUUAGGGCCUGAAGCACUGAUGGAGCACCUGGGGAAAGGACCCGGUCAGCCCUGGGAGCACAGGUGAAGGCAAUGCAGCUGUGUGAUAGGAAGGGGUGGAGCCUGGCUGCACCUCUCUUAGACCUCAUUUAAGGGCUGGCUGCAAGCGGGGAAGGGUCUGCGCUUGGAGGUCUCUCCCUUUUGGAGUUUUCCCUGCAAGCUGAGCUCUUUAGAGAUAGACCUCUUUAAAGAGAAAAGAAAAUGAUAAAUCACAUUGGCUUUUGGGUGCCCACCAGCCAUGUGAAGUCUGCAAGGAAGGAAGAAUAGAAGGAGGUGGUAACUGAAAUCUGAAGCUGACUUUCACGUAGGGGUAUGAAAUCACAGAUUUGUCACCCACGGUGGUUUUCUGUAACUGGACUUGAAGGGCAAACACAUGGAAUUCAUCCAGGAGGGAUAUGCUGGAGGGAAAACAAAAACAGGAGUGAGUGCAGAAACUUCAGAAGGAAGAAAGCAAAGCAGGACAACGAGCAGACAAGUCCUGAGAGGGAGGAAGCAGCUGGGGAGUCCGGUAAUACCCCACUCCAUAGGGCUCAUGGAGUGUUGCUCCAGCAGUUGUUUCAGGGAGUGACCUUACCUUACCCCUUAGGAAAUAGCCACCUCUGGAAGGAGAUGGUGUUUUAUAAAAUAAAGCUAUGAAGAACUGAUUCCCGUUUCUUUCACUCUUUCACUGCUCUAUGGGUUCUAGCUGGGAUUCAACCAGCUGUUUCCUGGGGAAUAAAGCCUUAGCCUACAGAGUGUGAAACCUAUUACACGUUCCUUGGGCUGCUAAAUGCUGGCACUUCUGAGGCUGAUCAAAU